rnacentral:rRNA from 1 species
AAUGAACGCUGGCGGCGUGCUUAACACAUGCAAGUCGCACGAGAACGCUUCAGCUUGCUGGAGCUAGUAAAGUGGCGCACGGGUGAGUAACGCGUGGGUAAUCUACCUCCGAAUUGGGGAUAACACUGCGAAAGCGGUGCUAAUACCGAAUGACAUCCCCGGGACCUUGGUUUCGGGGAUCAAAGGUGGCCUCUACAUGUAAGCUACCGUUUGGAGAUGAGCCCGCGUACCAUUAGCUAGUUGGUAGGGUAAUGGCCUACCAAGGCUGCGAUGGUUAGCUGGUCUGAGAGGAUGAUCAGCCACACUGGAACUGACACACGGUCCAGACUCCUACGGGAGGCAGCAGUGAGGAAUUUUGCGCAAUGGGGGAAACCCUGACGCAGCAACGCCGCGUGAGUGAUGAAGGCUUUCGGGUCGUAAAGCUCUGUCAAGUGGGAAGAACAUGCCCUGUGAUAAUACCAUGGGGCACUGACGGUACCACUGAAGGAAGCACCGGCUAACUCCGUGCCAGCAGCCGCGGUAAUACGGGGGGUGCAAGCGUUAUUCGGAAUCAUUGGGCGUAAAGGGCGCGUAGGCGGCCCCUUAAGUCAGAUGUGAAAGCCCUCAGCUUAACUGAGGAAGUGCAUUUGAAACUAAGGGGCUUGAGUAUGGGAGAGG